rnacentral:rRNA from 1 species
UAACAAGGUUUCCGUAGGUGAACCUGCGGAAGGAUCAUUACAGAAUGAAAAGUGCUUAACUGCAUUUUUUCUUACACAUGUGUUUUUCUUUUUUUGAAAACUUUGCUUUGGUAGGCCUUCUAUAUGGGGCCUGCCAGAGAUUAAACUCAACCAAAUUUUAUUUAAUGUCAACCGAUUAUUUAAUAGUCAAAACUUUCAACAACGGAUCUCUUGGUUCUCGCAUCGAUGAAGAACGCAGCGAAAUGCGAUAAGUAAUAUGAAUUGCAGAUAUUCGUGAAUCAUCGAAUCUUUGAACGCACAUUGCGCCCUUUGGUAUUCCAAAGGGCAUGCCUGUUUGAGCGUCAUUUCUCCCUCAAACCCUCGGGUUUGGUGUUGAGCGAUACGCUGGGUUUGCUUGAAAGAAAGGCGGAGUAUAAACUAAUGGAUAGGUUUUUUCCACUCAUUGGUACAAACUCCAAAACUUCUUCCAAAUUCGACCUCAAAUCAGGUAGGACUACCCGCUGAACUUAAGCAU